rnacentral:rRNA from 1 species
GGUUACCGCUAUUGGGAUUCGACUAAGCCAUGCGAGUCACUGGGUUAAACCAGGGCGAACGGCUGAGUAACACGUAGCUAACCUGCCCUUGAGUCAGGGAUAAUCUCGGGAAACUGAGGCUAAUACCUGAUAGAAGACUAUGCCUGGAAGGGUUUGUCUUUGAAACUCGCGCUCAAGGAUGGGGCUGCGGUGGAUUAGGCAGAUGUCAGGGUAAUGACCUGACAUACCUAUAAUCCAUAGGGGCUGUGAGAGCAGAAGCCCCCAGAUGGAUUCUGAGAAACGAAUCCGGGCCCUAAGGGGCGCAGCAGGCGCGAAAACUCCGCAAUGCACGAAAGUGUGACGGGGGGAUCUCAAGUGCCAGCGUAAAGCGUUGGCUUUUCUGAAGUUUAAAUUGCUUCAGGAAUAAGUGGGGGGUAAGACCGUUGCCAGCCGCCGCGGUAAUAACGGCUCCACGAGUGGUAACCACGUGUAUUGGGUCUAAAGCAUCCGUAGCCGGGUUAUUAAGUCUUCUGUGAAAUCCUAUAGAUAACUAUAGGGCGUGCAGUAGAAACUGAUGAUCUUGGGACUGGGAAGAGUUAGAGGUACUUCUAGGGUAGAGGUGGAAUUCUGUAAUCCUAGAGGGACCACCUGUGGCGAAGGCGUCUAACUGGAACGGGUCCGACGGUGAGGGAUGAAAGCUAGGGGAGCAAAGGGGAUUAGAUACCCCCGUAGUCCUAGCUGUAAACGAUGCCCGCUAGGUAUUGCUUAUUCUUCGUGAAUAUGCAGUGCCGUAGGGAAGCCAUUAAGCGGGCCACCUGGGGAGUACGGUCGCAAGGCUGAAACUUAAAGGAAUUGGC